AUACCAUGACGCAGAUACUUCCUUAGCGAUUCCUUAAACCUUUCCCAUGCAUCAUACAACAAUUCCCCUUUUGUCUGGGAGAAAUUAUUAAUUUCCCCUCUGAACUU